rnacentral:pre_miRNA from 1 species
GAGGUACUCCCUCCGUUCCGAAUUACUUGUCUUGGAUUUGUCUAGAUACGGAUGUAUCUAGACUCAUUUUAGUGCUAGAUACCUCCGUAUCUAGACAAAUCCAAGACAAGUAAUUCGGAACGGAGGGAGUACUAU